rnacentral:rRNA from 1 species
AAUAGAUACCCGGGUAGUCCACCCCGUAAACGUUGGGAACUAGUUGUGGGGUCCAUUCCACGGAUUCCGUGACGCAGCUAACGCAUUAAGUUCCCCGCCUGGGGAGUACGGCCGCAAGGCUAAAACUCAAAGGAAUUGACGGGGACCCGCACAAGCGGCGGAGCAUGCGGAUUAAUUCGAUGCAACGCGAAGAACCUUACCAAGGCUUGACAUAUAGAGGAAACGGCUGGAAACAGUCGCCCCGCAAGGUCUCUAUACAGGUGGUGCAUGGUUGUCGUCAGCUCGUGUCGUGAGAUGUUGGGUUAAGUCCCGCAACGAGCGCAACCCUCGUUCUAUGUUGCCAGCACGUAAUGGUGGGAACUCAUGGGAUACUGCCGGGGUCAACUCGGAGGAAGGUGGGGAUGACGUCAAAUCAGUCAUGCCCCUUAUGUCUUGGGCUUCACGCAUGCUACAAUGGCCGGUACAAAGGGCUGCAAUACCGUAAGGUGGAGCGAAUCCCGAAAAGCCGGUCCAGUUCGGAUUGAGGUCUGCAACUCGACCUCAUG